rnacentral:rRNA from 1 species
GGUUAAGCGACUAAGCGUACACGGUGGAUGCCCUGGCAGUCAGAGGCGAUGAAGGACGUGCUAAUCUGCGAAAAGCGUCGGUAAGGUGAUAUGAACCGUUAUAGCCGGCGAUGUCCGAAUGGGGAAACCCAGUGCAAUUCGUUGCACUAUCGUUAACUGAAUACAUAGGUUAACGAGGCGAACCGGGGGAACUGAAACAUCUAAGUACCCCGAGGAAAAGAAAUCAACCGAGAUUCCCCCAGUAGCGGCGAGCGAACGGGGAGCAGCCCAGAGUCUGAAUCAGCUUGUGUGUUAGUGGAACGGUCUGGAAAGUCCGACGGUACAGGGUGAUAGUCCCGUACACCAAAAUGCACAGGUUGUGAACUCGAAGAGUAGGGCGGGACACGUGGUAUCCUGUCUGAAUAUGGGGGGACCAUCCUCCAAGGCUAAAUACUCCUGACUGACCGAUAGUGAACCAGUACCGUGAGGGAAAGGCGAAAAGAACCCCGGCGAGGGGAGUGAAAAAGAACCUGAAACCGUGUACGUACAAGCAGUGGGAGCACCUUCGGGUGUGACUGCGUACCUUUUGUAUAAUGGGUCAGCGACUUAUAUUCUGUAGCAAGGUUAACCGUAUAGGGGAGCCGCAGGGAAACCGAGUCUUAACUGGGCGUUAAGUUGCAGGGUAUAGACCCGAAACCCGGUGAUCUAGCCAUGGGCAGGUUGAAGGUUGGGUAACACUAACUGGAGGACCGAACCGACUAAUGUUGAAAAAUUAGCGGAUGACUUGUGGCUGGGGGUGAAAGGCCAAUCAAACCGGGAGAUAGCUGGUUCUCCCCGAAAGCUAUUUAGGUAGCGCCUCGUGAAUUCAUCUUCGGGGGUAGAGCACUGUUUCGGCUAGGGGGUCAUCCCGACUUACCAACCCGAUGCAAACUACGAAUACCGAAGAAUGUUAACACGGGAGACACACGGCGGGUGCUAACGUCCGUCGUGAAGAGGGAAACAACCCAGACCGCCAGCUAAGGUCCCAAAGUCAUGGUUAAGUGGGAAACGAUGUGGGAAGGCACAGACAGCCAGGAUGUUGGCUUAGAAGCAGCCAUCAUUUAAAGAAAGCGUAAUAGCUCACUGGUCGAGUCGGCCUGCGCGGAAGAUGUAACGGGGCUAAACCAUGCACCGAAGCUGCGGCAGCGACACUAUGUGUUGUUGGGUAGGGGAGCGUUCUGUAAGCCUGCGAAGGUGUGCUGUGAGGCAUGCUGGAGGUAUCAGAAGUGCGAAUGCUGACAUAAGUAACGAUAAAGCGGGUGAAAAGCCCGCUCGCCGGAAGACCAAGGGUUCCUGUCCAACGUUAAUCGGGGCAGGGUGAGUCGACCCCUAAGGCGAGGCCGAAAGGCGUAGUCGAUGGGAAACAGGUUAAUAUUCCUGUACUUGGUGUUACUGCGAAGGGGGGACGGAGAAGGCUAUGUUAGCCGGGCGACGGUUGUCCCGGUUUAAGCAUGUAGGCUGGUUGUCCAGGCAAAUCCGGAUAAUCAAGGCUGAGGUGUGAUGACGAGGCACUACGGUGCUGAAGUAACAAAUGCCCUGCUUCCAGGAAAAGCCUCUAAGCAUCAGGUAACAUUAAAUCGUACCCCAAACCGACACAGGUGGUCAGGUAGAGAAUACCAAGGCGCUUGAGAGAACUCGGGUGAAGGAACUAGGCAAAAUGGUGCCGUAACUUCGGGAGAAGGCACGCUGGUGUGUAGGUGAAGUCCCUGCGGAUGGAGCUGAGACCAGUCGAAGAUACCAGCUGGCUGCAACUGUUUAUUAAAAACACAGCACUGUGCAAACACGAAAGUGGACGUAUACGGUGUGACGCCUGCCCGGUGCCGGAAGGUUAAUUGAUGGGGUUAUCCGUAAGGAGAAGCUCUUGAUCGAAGCCCCGGUAAACGGCGGCCGUAACUAUAACGGUCCUAAGGUAGCGAAAUUCCUUGUCGGGUAAGUUCCGACCUGCACGAAUGGCGUAAUGAUGGCCAGGCUGUCUCCACCCGAGACUCAGUGAAAUUGAACUCGCUGUGAAGAUGCAGUGUACCCGCGGCAAGACGGAAAGACCCCGUGAACCUUUACUAUAGCUUGACACUGAACAUUGAGCCUUGAUGUGUAGGAUAGGUGGGAGGCUUUGAAGCGUGGACGCCAGUCUGCGUGGAGCCAACCUUGAAAUACCACCCUUUAAUGUUUGAUGUUCUAACGUUGGCCCCUUACCGGGGUUGCGGACAGUGUCUGGUGGGUAGUUUGACUGGGGCGGUCUCCUCCCAAAGCGUAACGGAGGAGCACGAAGGUUAGCUAAUCCUGGUCGGACAUCAGGAGGUUAGUGCAAUGGCAUAAGCUAGCUUGACUGCGAGCGUGACGGCGCGAGCAGGUGCGAAAGCAGGUCAUAGUGAUCCGGUGGUUCUGAAUGGAAGGGCCAUCGCUCAACGGAUAAAAGGUACUCCGGGGAUAACAGGCUGAUACCGCCCAAGAGUUCAUAUCGACGGCGGUGUUUGGCACCUCGAUGUCGGCUCAUCACAUCCUGGGGCUGAAGUAGGUCCCAAGGGUAUGGCUGUUCGCCAUUUAAAGUGGUACGCGAGCUGGGUUUAGAACGUCGUGAGACAGUUCGGUCCCUAUCUGCCGUGGGCGCUGGAGAAUUGAGGGGGGCUGCUCCUAGUACGAGAGGACCGGAGUGGACGCAUCACUGGUGUUCGGGUUGUCAUGCCAAUGGCACUGCCCGGUAGCUAAAUGCGGAAGAGAUAAGUGCUGAAAGCAUCUAAGCACGAAACUUGCCCCGAGAUGAGUUCUCCCUGAGACUUUAAGUCUCCUGAAGGAACGUUGAAGACGACGACGUUGAUAGGCCGGGUGUGUAAGCGCAGCGAUGCGUUGAGCUAACCGGUACUAAUGAACCGUGAGGCUUAACCUU